rnacentral:rRNA from 1 species
AGUGAACGCUGGCGGUAGGCCUAACACAUGCAAGUCGAACGGCAGCACAGUAAGAGCUUGCUCUUACGGGUGGCGAGUGGCGGACGGGUGAGGAAUACAUCGGAAUCUACUUUUUCGUGGGGGAUAACGUAGGGAAACUUACGCUAAUACCGCAUACGACCUACGGGUGAAAGCAGGGGAUCUUCGGACCUUGCGCGAUUGAAUGAGCCGAUGUCGGAUUAGCUAGUUGGCGGGGUAAAGGCCCACCAAGGCGACGAUCCGUAGCUGGUCUGAGAGGAUGAUCCACCAUACAGGAAAGACGACACCCUGCCGACUACGACGGGCAGCAGUAGUGAGGAAUAUAGGACGAUGGGAGCACGGCUGCAGCAGUCACACCGGGUGGGUGAAGACGGCCGUCGGGUAGUACAGCCCUUUUGUUGAGAAAGAAAAGCAGCAGGUUACUACCCCGUUGUUACGACGGUAAAAAAAUAAUAACCGCCGACUAACUUC